rnacentral:piRNA from 1 species
UGAUGAUGUUAACUCUAGCCUCACCAUGAUU